CCCUUAGAUGUUCUGGGCCGCACGCGCGCUACACUGAUGCAUUCAACGAGUCUACAACCUGGUCUGAUAGGGCUGGGUAAUCUUUUGAAUGUGCAUCGUGAUAGGGAUAGACUAUUGCAAUUAUUGGUCUUCAACGAGGAAUUCCUAGUAGACGUAGUUCAUCAGACUGCAUCGAUUACGUCCCUGCCCUUUGUACACACCGCCCGUCGCUCCUACCGAUUGAAUGCUCAGGUGAGCCAUUCGGACUUUCAUCAUGCUGGUUUCCAGUUUUGAUGAAGGAAAGUCUUGCGAACCUUAUCAUUUAGAGGAAGGAGAAGUCGUAACA
rnacentral:rRNA from 1 species